CUUGCAGGUUGCACAAUUUCAUCAGUGAUAUAGCUUUAUUUUUGAAGCUUUUUAAAGUGAUCUUUUUAUCUUUUCAUAUAUCUCACCCUCCUCAAAUGUUUCCUAUUUUUGGAUCUAAUCUAAGCUCAAAACAUCAAAACUUAGUUCUCCUGAAAAGAGGCUUCCAAAGCCAUUCUCAGCUCCAUGCCAGAGCCUGGAAGGACCAGCUGCUCCUGGGCUCCCCCUCUCUCCCAGGCCUCCCCCUCUCCACUCCCAUCCUCCCUGCCCUGGGGCUGCUCCCCUGCCUGCUGGCUAGGCUAUUUCAACAGCCUCUGACUUUGUGCCUCUAGCCCCUCUCCAAAUGCAAUCCAUCACACGUUGCCAAGCUAACCUUUCAACUCCAUUUCCAUCACUUAAUGCAAGUCAGGAUCUCACUCGGUCUGAACUUUCCAUAUCCCCAAAGCCCACCCUCAGCCAGUCUGUCCAAUCCCUGCCCCUCUCCUCCCAGCAACUCCAACCAUCCCUGGGCCUGGGGAACAGAGCUCCUGGUGGCUGCCCGGGGAGGCUGAGAGGAGGGCGGCUGUGUGGCAGGGGUCUCAUCCUCCCUGGGAGCAUGGUCCCCACCCCAGCUCUGCAGGUCACUCUGGGGACCCUGGCCUCACAGCUUCUCUGUGAUUCUGCUCCUGUUAUGUCUCAGUUCUUCCAACAAUCAAAAGACAGCAUGGGUCAUACUUGCUGGCUUCUUCCCCCACAACUAAGAGCUCCAAGCAUCACACCAUUUCAGCACUUAAUUCCAUACCGUCCCUCCCAUUCACACCGUCACAGGCGUGCUCACCUGUACUUCCUAGCUACGGUUAUGGCAUCUUUAGUGUCUCCCAUGGAACUUAUUAGCACAGUUAUAAUUUUACACAAGCACCCCAUCGCAAUCAUUAAAGUCAUACCAAAGAGUCACCAAGGAUAUUCUAAAGUUCUGCACAUUCAUAAUUCUUAUCUAUCUUUAAAAGACAUUAAUAAAAUAACAGCUUUCACCAGACACAUCCAUGUUUCCAAAACCCCAAAAGAUUCCAUGGUCAGCCUCACAUGGAAACCACCAUUUACCCUUUAGAGAGAACCCUGAAAACACGCCUGAAUUUCCCCUGGCCAUUACUGGCCAUGUCUUUGCAAUCUCUGAAGUCCUCCCUACAGCUGACCUGGGUACAGCCUUUACGUAAAGGCUCACUCUGUCAUGAACUUGGAGAGGCGCAUUUCGGAAACCCCUUCCUGAAUGUCUGCCAUACCCCCCAUCCAGUGUCACCAAAUGGUGUCUGGUGCAAAGGGCACCUGCUUCAGCACAGGUCCCCAUCAUGCUCACUGCAGCUACUUGUUUAACAGUUUCCUCUGCAGCACAAGGUUAUAAUAUGGACACUACUGUGCUAACCUGCAAAUCUCCAGACCUACCACAGCGCAUCCUAAGUACCUAAUCAGAACACCGCCACAGGGAAAACGCCUUCCAACCAGCACCAGGAGCUCGGAAAUGGCCUCACCUCCUCUUCCCCACCCACAUUCUGCACACACUGUGAGAGGGCCAGGUGGGGUUGGAGGCUGUCACUGGGGGAGACUGGAGAGGAGACAGGCCUCAGGCACAGGCAACCUCACCCCUCCUGAGACAGAGCCUCAACUUUAAGCUGACAGCCCCACUGCCCCCGAGGCAAGGAGGAGCCUGGCCAGCACCUAGGAGGAGGCCAGGGUCAGGGAGGGAGGGCAGGCCAGGGUCCCCGGGCACAGUCACUGCCCACCCUCCUCCAGAGCAGAUGGCCUCUGCAGCAAGGGCUCGGCAGGCCUGGGACUGAGCUCCCACAGGCAGCCGAUGUCAGGAGGGUGUGACCCUGGAAGGAGCAGGAGGCCAGGACCUGAGGACAUGGCACCUGCACCCCCACCCCUACCCCCGAGGUGGGAUGCAGAAGGGAUGUGGGAGGACCAGAGCAUGGGUGCGGGCUGAGAGGCUGAGAUGCAGGGCAGCCUGCAGCUUCCGGGCCUCUGUUAGCCUCUCAGGCAGGAAGGAGGGGUGUUGGGAAGACUCUGGUUUCAGACCAGUUGGGAAGGCCAAGGACAGAUGUUUGGGGGAGGAGAUACUGGAAACAAAAAUAUGGGUUUAGGAGUUAAUCACCCAGAAACAGGAGCCAGAGCGCCUAGAGAAACUGGGCCCUAGAGAAGCCAAGAUGGACACCUGGGUGCAGGUGGUGUUUAGGGAGCAGGGAAGAACCAGGCGCCCAGGGCACAUCCCAGGGAAGGCCCAAGGGCGCCUCCCAGCCACGGUCCAGGGAGACAAUGGGGCAGUCAGUGAGGCGCAAGUCAUCAGAAAGGAAAGGAGGAGAGCUGAUAACAGGCCGGGAGCCGCACCUCCCGCAGGAGCACCCUGGCUCUCAGGGAGAUGACUCCGCGUCCUCCAGGACAGCAUCAACCGACCCACCUGUCACCAGCCACCCGACUCUCAAUCUAAGCACAGGACAUGCCCUCAAAAGAACACUGGCUUGGAAGGCGCUGCUCCAAAUAGUUAAUCUAUUCACUUUUGGGAGUUUCUGUCAUGGCUCAGCCGUAACAAACCUGACUUGUAUCGUUGAGGACUCAGCUUCAAUCCCUGGCCUCGCUCAGUGGGUUAAAUGAUCCUCAGGCGUUGCCGUGAGCUGUGGCAUAGGCCGGUGGCCACAGCUCUGAUUAGACCCCUAGCCUGGGAACCUCCAUAUGCCUCAGGUGCGGCCCUAAAAAGACCCCCCAAAAAAAAAAAUCCAUUCACUUUUCAUACAUACCAUGUAAACUAAAACGACAGAUAAAACAAGUUUUUAAUUCUGUGGCAGAAACGAAAAUAAAAUUUAACAAAUAAAUACAAACCAUGCGCUUCUCUACCCCUUUUCGUGUUGCCUUAAAGUGACUGUGUUUCCAAGAUCUUAGCCACAAGCCCACUGUUACCUCUGAUAUUAACUGGUGUCCCAAGAGCAGCUAUAUUCCACUUGUUUACAUGUAACAGAAUAACAUUACUUGCAAAAUUCUAAAAAAAUACUGUAAAAUAUAUGAAUAACCAUUUUUCCAAUCUGUUUUAUACUUCUAUGGUACCCACACUGCAUAAUUAACAAACUGGUCUGGAGUUCCCAUCGUGGUGCAGUGAAAGCAAAUCUGACUGGUAUCCAUGAGGUUGCAGAUUCAUUUCUGCUGAGCCACGAUGGGAACUCCAAAAAUCUGCAUUUUUGAACAAGCACCCCAGGUGACUGUUAAUUCUAAGGCCCAAUAAAUAUCUAUCUUAUUAGUCAUUCUAAUUUUAAAUAAUUAUAUAAGAUCCUCAAAGUCAUCUAAACAGACCCAUUUCAUAGGUCCCUU
rnacentral:lncRNA from 1 species